rnacentral:rRNA from 1 species
UUAAGCGACUAAGCGUACACGGUGGAUGCCCUGGCAGUCAGAGGCGAUGAAGGACGUGCUAAUCUGCGAUAAGCGUCGGUGAGGUGAUAUGAACCGUUAUAACCGGCGAUUUCCGAAUGGGGAAACCCAGUGUGUUUCGACACACUAUCAUUAACUGAAUCCAUAGGUUAAUGAGGCGAACCGGGGGAACUGAAACAUCUAAGUACCCCGAGGAAAAGAAAUCAACCGAGAUUCCCCCAGUAGCGGCGAGCGAACGGGGAGGAGCCCAGAGCCUGAAUCAGUGUGUGUGUUAGUGGAAGCGUCUGGAAAGGCGUGCGAUACAGGGUGACAGCCCCGUACACAAAAAUGCACAUAUUGUGAGCUCGAUGAGUAGGGCGGGACACGUGGUAUCCUGUCUGAAUAUGGGGGGACCAUCCUCCAAGGCUAAAUACUCCUGACUGACCGAUAGUGAACCAGUACCGUGAGGGAAAGGCGAAAAGAACCCCGGCGAGGGGAGUGAAAAAGAACCUGAAACCGUGUACGUACAAGCAGUGGGAGCCUCUUAAUGGGGUGACUGCGUACCUUUUGUAUAAUGGGUCAGCGACUUAUAUUCUGUAGCAAGGUUAACCGAAUAGGGGAGCCGAAGGGAAACCGAGUCUUAACUGGGCGUUAAGUUGCAGGGUAUAGACCCGAAACCCGGUGAUCUAGCCAUGGGCAGGUUGAAGGUUGGGUAACACUAACUGGAGGACCGAACCGACUAAUGUUGAAAAAUUAGCGGAUGACUUGUGGCUGGGGGUGAAAGGCCAAUCAAACCGGGAGAUAGCUGGUUCUCCCCGAAAGCUAUUUAGGUAGCGCCUCGUGAAUUCAUCUCCGGGGGUAGAGCACUGUUUCGGCAAGGGGGUCAUCCCGACUUACCAACCCGAUGCAAACUGCGAAUACCGGAGAAUGUUAUCACGGGAGACACACGGCGGGUGCUAACGUCCGUCGUGAAGAGGGAAACAACCCAGACCGCCAGCUAAGGUCCCAAAGUCAUGGUUAAGUGGGAAACGAUGUGGGAAGGCCCAGACAGCCAGGAUGUUGGCUUAGAAGCAGCCAUCAUUUAAAGAAAGCGUAAUAGCUCACUGGUCGAGUCGGCCUGCGCGGAAGAUGUAACGGGGCUAAACCAUGCACCGAAGCUGCGGCAGCGACGCUUAUGCGUUGUUGGGUAGGGGAGCGUUCUGUAAGCCUGUGAAGGUGGCCUGUGAGGGUUGCUGGAGGUAUCAGAAGUGCGAAUGCUGACAUAAGUAACGAUAAAGCGGGUGAAAAGCCCGCUCGCCGGAAGACCAAGGGUUCCUGUCCAACGUUAAUCGGGGCAGGGUGAGUCGACCCCUAAGGCGAGGCCGAAAGGCGUAGUCGAUGGGAAACAGGUUAAUAUUCCUGUACUUGGUGUUACUGCGAAGGGGGGACGGAGAAGGCUAUGUUGGCCGGGCGACGGUUGUCCCGGUUUAAGCGUGUAGGCUGGUUUUCCAGGCAAAUCCGGAAAAUCAAGGCUGAGGCGUGAUGACGAGGCACUACGGUGCUGAAGCGACAAAUGCCCUGCUUCCAGGAAAAGCCUCUAAGCAUCAGGUAACAUCAAAUCGUACCCCAAACCGACACAGGUGGUCAGGUAGAGAAUACCAAGGCGCUUGAGAGAACUCGGGUGAAGGAACUAGGCAAAAUGGUGCCGUAACUUCGGGAGAAGGCACGCUGAUAUGUAGGUGAAGCGACUUGCUCGUGGAGCUGAAAUCAGUCGAAGAUACCAGCUGGCUGCAACUGUUUAUUAAAAACACAGCACUGUGCAAACACGAAAGUGGACGUAUACGGUGUGACGCCUGCCCGGUGCCGGAAGGUUAAUUGAUGGGGUUAGCGGUAACGCGAAGCUCUUGAUCGAAGCCCCGGUAAACGGCGGCCGUAACUAUAACGGUCCUAAGGUAGCGAAAUUCCUUGUCGGGUAAGUUCCGACCUGCACGAAUGGCGUAAUGAUGGCCAGGCUGUCUCCACCCGAGACUCAGUGAAAUUGAACUCGCUGUGAAGAUGCAGUGUACCCGCGGCAAGACGGAAAGACCCCGUGAACCUUUACUAUAGCUUGACACUGAACAUUGAGCCUUGAUGUGUAGGAUAGGUGGGAGGCUUUGAAGUGUGGACGCCAGUCUGCAUGGAGCCGACCUUGAAAUACCACCCUUUAAUGUUUGAUGUUCUAACGUUGGCCCGUAAUCCGGGUUGCGGACAGUGUCUGGUGGGUAGUUUGACUGGGGCGGUCUCCUCCUAAAGAGUAACGGAGGAGCACGAAGGUUGGCUAAUCCUGGUCGGACAUCAGGAGGUUAGUGCAAUGGCAUAAGCCAGCUUGACUGCGAGCGUGACGGCGCGAGCAGGUGCGAAAGCAGGUCAUAGUGAUCCGGUGGUUCUGAAUGGAAGGGCCAUCGCUCAACGGAUAAAAGGUACUCCGGGGAUAACAGGCUGAUACCGCCCAAGAGUUCAUAUCGACGGCGGUGUUUGGCACCUCGAUGUCGGCUCAUCACAUCCUGGGGCUGAAGUAGGUCCCAAGGGUAUGGCUGUUCGCCAUUUAAAGUGGUACGCGAGCUGGGUUUAGAACGUCGUGAGACAGUUCGGUCCCUAUCUGCCGUGGGCGCUGGAGAACUGAGGGGGGCUGCUCCUAGUACGAGAGGACCGGAGUGGACGCAUCACUGGUGUUCGGGUUGUCAUGCCAAUGGCACUGCCCGGUAGCUAAAUGCGGAAGAGAUAAGUGCUGAAAGCAUCUAAGCACGAAACUUGCCCCGAGAUGAGUUCUCCCUGACUCCUUGAGAGUCCUGAAGGAACGUUGAAGACGACGACGUUGAUAGGCCGGGUGUGUAAGCGCAGCGAUGCGUUGAGCUAACCGGUACUAAUGAACCGUGAGGCUUAACCUU